rnacentral:rRNA from 1 species
UACGUAGGGUGCGAGCGUUUGUCCGGAAUUAUUGGGCGUAAAGAGCUCGUAGGCGGUUUGUCGCGUCUGCUGUGAAAACCCGAGGCUCAACCUCGGGCCGCAGUGGGUACGGGCAGACUAGAGUGCGGUAGGGGAGAUUGGAAUUCCUGGUGUAGCGGUGGAAUGCGCAGAUAUCAGGAGGAACACCAAUGGCGAAGGCAGAUCUCUGGGCCGUAACUGACGCUGAGGAGCGAAAGCAUGGGGAGCGAACAGG